rnacentral:rRNA from 1 species
UACGUAGGGUGCGAGCGUUAAUCGGAAUUACUGGGCGUAAAGCGUGCGCAGGCGGUGAUGUAAGUCCGAUGUGAAAUCCCCGGGCUUAACCUGGGAACUGCAUUGAUGACUGCAUUGCUGGAGUAUGGCAGAGGGGGGUGGAAUUCCACGUGUAGCAGUGAAAUGCGUAGAGAUGUGGAGGAACACCGAUGGCGAAGGCAGCCCCCUGGGCCAAUACUGACGCUCAUGCACGAAAGCGUGGGGAGCAAACAGG